AUUGAACGCUGGCGGCAGGCCUAACACAUGCAAGUCGAGCGGAUGACGGGAGCUUGCUCCUUGAUUCAGCGGCGGACGGGUGAGUAAUACCUAGGAAUCUGCCUGAUAGUGGGGGACAACGUUUCGAAAGGAACGCUAAUACCGCAUACGUCCUACGGGAGAAAGCAGGGGACCUUCGGGCCUUGCGCUAUCAGAUGAGCCUAGGUCGGAUUAGCUAGUUGGUGAGGUAAUGGCUCACCAAGGCGACGAUCCGUAACUGGUCUGAGAGGAUGAUCAGUCACACUGGAACUGAGACACGGCCCAAACUCCUACGGGAGGCAGCAGUGGGGAAUAUUGGACAAUGGGCGCAAGCCUGAUCCAGCCAUGCCGCGUGAGUGAUGAAGGCCCUAGGGUUGUAAAGCUCUUU
rnacentral:rRNA from 1 species